GACGAACGCUGGCGGCGUGCUUAACACAUGCAAGUCGAGCGGUAAGGCCCUUUCGGGGGUACGACGAGCGGCGAACGGGUGAGUAACACGUGGGUGACCUGCCCUCAGCUCUGGGAUAAGCCUGGGAAACCGGGGUCUAAUACUGGAUAUGACUCCAUGACGCAUGUUGUGGGGUGGAAAGCCUUGUGCGGCUGAGGAUGGGCCCGCGGCCUAUCAGCUUGUUGGU
rnacentral:rRNA from 1 species